rnacentral:rRNA from 1 species
GAUCAGCCACACUGGGACUGAGACACGGUCCAUACUCCUACCGGAGGCAGCAGUGGGGAAUCCCCGUAAUGGGCGAAAGCCUGACGGAGCAAGACCGCGUGAGGGAGGAAGGCUCUUGGGUUGUCACCUCUUUUCUCAGGGAAGAAGCUCUGACGGUCCUGAGGAAUCACCCGGCUAACUCCGUGCCAACAGUCGCCGGUAAUACCGGUCGAGGCAAGCGUUAUCCAGGAAUUAUUAGGGGCCGUAACAGCAGUCCCGCAGGUGGCGAUUCACGUCUGCUGUCAAAGCACGGGGCUUAACUCCGUUAAGGCAGUGGAAACUGAAUAGCUAGAGGUAGCCCGUUAGGGGUAGAGGGAAUUCCCGGUGUAUCGGUGAAAUGCGUAGAGAUCGGGAAGAACAUCGGUGGCGAAAGCGCUUUACUGGACGGCAACUGACACUCAGGGACGAAAGCUAGGGGAGCGAAUGGGAUUAGAUACCCCAGUAGUCCUAGCGGUAAACGAUGGAUACUAGGUGUAGCUUGUAUCGACCCGAGCUGUGCCGAAGUUAACGCGUUAAGUAUCCCGCCUGGGGAGUACGCACGCAAGUCUGAAACUCAAAGGAAUUGACGGGGGCCCGCACAAUCGUUGGAGUAUAUGGUUUAAUUCGAUGCAACGCGAAGAACCUUACCAGGGCUUGACAUGUCCGGAAUCCCGGUGAAAGCUGGGAGUGCCUUCGGGAGCCGGAACACAGGUGGUGCAUGGCGGUCGUCAGCUCGUGUCGUGAGAUGUUGGGUUAAGUCCAGCAACGAGCGCUACCCUCGUCUUUAGUUGCCAGCAUUAAGUUGGGCACUCUAGAGAGACUGCCGGUGACAAACCGGAGGAAGGUGGGGAUGACGU